GUAUGAAUGCGCGUUUGUGCAGUUGACACUUUCGCGCGUGCCAGGAGUUCGUGCGCCCGGUUUGGUUGGCUUGGAUAGCUUCCUGUUCUGCGUUCGUUGUGUGCCUCGCUGUUGGAAUAUUCCUGCUUGUUGCUCGUUUUUUAUGGGCUUCUUGUUGCCUCGAAAAUCGCCAUGAUUGCCUCCGACUCAGCCACAUCAAAGAUUCAGAACGAGUCGGGAGACACCAUAGCCGGAACGCGAAAGGGAGCAGAAGAAAAACAUUGCUGAUGCAACCGCAAGCAUUCCUUCCAUUGAUGAAUUGGUGCACAGUGCCUUCGGUAGCUGA
rnacentral:lncRNA from 1 species